rnacentral:rRNA from 1 species
AUACGGAGGAUCCGAGCGUUAUCCGGAUUUAUUGGGUUUACAGGGUGCGCAGGCGGGAGAUUAAGUCGGCGGUGAAAUUUUGCAGCUCAACUGUAAAAGUGCCUUCGAAACUGGUUUCCUUGAGUGUAGAUGAAGUAGGCGGAAUUUGUGGUGUAGCGGUGAAAUGCAUAGAUAUCACGAGGAACUCCGAUUGCGCAGGCAGCUUACUAAACUACUACUGACGCUCAGGCACGAAGGCGUGGGGAUCAAACAGGAUUAGAUACCCUGGUAGUCCACGCAGUAAACGAUGAUUACUAGCUGUUUGCGAUACAAUGUAAGCGGCUGAGCGAAAGCGUUAAGUAAUCCACCUGGGGAGUACGUUCGCAAGAAUGAAACUCAAAGGAAUUGACGGGG